AGACAAAAUAUCAAUAAAUCUGUAUCAAUCUGCAAAAUUGACUAUGUAAUCCAACCAUUACUUUUGUCUA
rnacentral:tRNA from 1 species